CAGUCGCCGCGGUAAUACGAAGGGUGCAAGCGUUACUCGGAAUUACUGGGCGUAAAGCGUGUGUAGGUGGUUGUUUAAGUCUGUCGUGAAAGCCCUGGGCUCAACCUGGGAAUUGCGAUGGAUACUGGGCGACUAGAGUGCGGUAGAGGAUAGUGGAAUUUCCGGUGUAGCAGUGAAAUGCGUAGAGAUCGGAUGGAACAUCUGUGGCGAAGGCGACUAUCUGGGCCAACACUGACACUGAGACACGAAAGCGUGGGGAGCAAACAGGAUUAGAUACCCGCGUAGUCCCUGUCUCUUAUAC
rnacentral:rRNA from 1 species